rnacentral:lncRNA from 1 species
UCAUGGGGUAAUGGGUUAGCUAAAUCAAAUCCAAAUGAUUUGGACUCAAUGGUUGAAAUCAAACUUGGUAGAGUAGUUGAUCUAAUCUAAUUAAAGUUGUUUCUUAGAUUGGGUCAAGAUUGUUCUUGAUCUUUGCAAUAGUUGUAGUUGAUCAAGUCCAUGUCUUUGAUUAGACCAAAUGGAUGUUGAUUUAGGCUUCGUGGUUGAGCUUGAGUUAUGAUAUUGAUCGAAUUGAAAUUGAUAAACUAGUUGGUGUCAAAGGCAACUGUAAUCAGUAGGUUUUUAAUUGGGAGCUACUUGCUGGGUUUCGGUCCAGUCAAGUUAAUGGCAUACCCUUCCGCUGAUCUCACUUACCUGGCCAUCUUGGUGAAUCUCUUUUGAUCAGAUCUCUGAUUGACUCUAAUUGACCCAUGCCUGUAAGAAAAUCAGUUGGAUUGAUUUAGGUGCACUGAGUUGAAUCUAUUUCCUAUGAUACCUGACUUAUGAAGUCAGUGGGAGGAUUUGGAUUGAGUCAGCUUUUUAUUAUAAAAAUCCUCUAAAUUAUUAGGUCCAUAAAAUGAUAGGGUUAAUGGAGAUGACCACGUCAUAGCCUCCCAUUAGUUGUGUGAUAAUGAGUCCAAUACGUCUAUAUACAUUGGAGGUGCGUGCGCGCACUGGUGCGUAUCGGCCAUUGGAAUUGUCAUACAAUAAUGAUGAGUCGGUUGCAACUAUUGGAAUGGGUGGUCCGGUUGGAUACCGGCCAAAGUCGAAGCGCUUCGCUAACGCUCGGGCUUGACCAUCCAUUAGAUAGUUUGCAUUGAUUGCUACAUGUUAAUGGUUGG